CACCCCUUGGCCCUACCCCUUACCCCUUCCCCUCCGUUUUGCGCGUUCACGUGUAGGGGUAGGGCUGUCCCAAUUCACGCUAAUGUGCAGGGGUAGGGGUAAGGGGGAGGGCUUUCCACCCCUCCUAACGGAGGGCCAUGACUACCCUCACUCCAAACGGAGGGUUACGCGAAAUUUCCCAGGGUGCAAAGCGAUUACCCCGAGAAUCAUUUCCAAAAUGGCGGAGCCAAGGAAAGAAGUACACAAAUGGAGUCAAGCACAAACAAAGAGCCUUACCAGGUUUGAGAACCAAGAACGGUUCUUGAAGUCAAAAGCCUCGGCCAAACAACAGUGGGAGAAGCUGAUCAAGGAGCUGGGGCUGCAGGGGAAGAUGUCCUCCCAGCAGGUCUCCAAAAAAUGGGAGAAUUAAAAAAAAAAAAAAGUACAAGGAGCUGAAAACUCCCUGCUCUGGGGGUGGGACAGAUGAAGGCCAGGAGACCGCCACAACGUGGCAAUAUUAUGAGGAUAUGCACGCGGUGCUGAGAGGAAGGGCAGCAAUAAACCCUCCACUCUUGGUGGAUCCAUGCGCAGAGGGGGAUGUCAUCAUCCAAAGUGCUUUGAACGUCGCUGAGCCCAGAAUGUGCCACGUGCUGUUCCUGCUCCAGUCACCCCACCAUCUCUUCAUUUUGUUUAUUGAUGGUUGUCUUAUGUUCAUUUUUUUAAUCUGGUCAUAUUCAUACUGUUUAUUUUCUGUAGUUGCUCCACACACUUUCAGACACUUUAAGCUGUAAUUUGCACUAUGUUCACUAUUUCUGAAAAGAAGCUGCUAAUAAAAGAAAGGAAUAACAAUUUGUGAGCAUGAUUAUCACAUCAGCAUCAUAUGAAUGAAACGGAUAUUGGUUUGAAGAGAUUUAUUUUGUAAAAUAAAAAUGUGAUGCAUUACAUUAGAAUGUAAUGGGAAAAUGGGAGGAAAAGCGUGAAAAAAAGAAAACGAUCACCAAAAAUUAUAUACAUUGCACAUCAACACACGAGCCACCACGAUGUAAGAGAGUCUAUGUGCCAACCAGUAUAUAUAGAUCAGGACCUCCAGUUGCCCGUCCCAACCAUGGUCCUGCUCUCUCUGCAGCAGCUUUUGGACAGCGUUUAUGGCUCUUCUGCUGAGGUGUAGGUCCCAUCUCAAGUCCGCCUCAACAUUGAAUCACAACCUUAGAACAGGUAUAUUAUGGUCCAACCGGCAAUAAUUUGUGGGAUGACCCAUUUGCUGGAAAGAAAAACAUGGAAAGAACAGGCUUUCAUCCUCCCAAACCAACACAUUGAUGGCACACACAAUGCAGUGAAUGUAUUUAUGUAUUCACAUCUGACCCUGGUACAAAAAAAUGGGUUCAAACCCCCCUGAGCAGCAUGUUUAUCUCAAACGGAAGGAGGCGAGUAACAAAAGCCACACGUUAGCUGUUGCUUUUUGUUCGGUUAGCCAGGCUAGGACACUACUCCAAUCAAUAAAUCAGCAAAUAAAAAAAGGCAAGCAAAUUGUUUCUGUAUAACAAAAUAUCACGAAUGUACAGUUAAAAGGACUU